GUCUCCACGUGACCCAUGCCAAUUGCUUCACACCAAGUCUCUUGACCUGGUCUACCACAGCACACAAGUGCUUGCCCACUUAAAGUAAACAAGUGCUUUCCAACGGUCCCUGUCCAAGGCAAACACCAUCUAUGGAGGAGGAGACCUAGGACCUCCAUUUGGAUGAGGAAUUCCUGAAUGUAAUUGACUGGACUUUUAACAGAGUUUUGAUGAAAAGAACCAAUAACAUUUGAAAAUUUGGUGAAAAGAACCAGAAAACAUUUGAAAAUCUGUAUUAAUACAGAAGCAAAGGCCUGGCUUCCAUGGCUUGCAUCUGACUCAAGUUUCUACACCGCAGUGCUCAGAGCCACCCGUCUUCAGCCUGUCUCCACUUGACACACACAGAAUUUCCUGUCGCUGUAGCCUGAGAACAGUUUGGCAGCACGGGUGGAGUAUAGACAGAGAGGGGGAAGUACUGAUGGCUGAAGAGAUUUACAAGAGGACAAAGAACAGGAAGUGUAUCUCAUUUCCCCUUCUCAGUGGUGACUACUAAUUUCUCUAGAAGUCUCUCUUGGUUGUGAGCCCAAGCCUUUCAUGGCUGAACCAACUCGCAGCCCUCCAGAAGUCUCUUUUAAUGGCAUGUAUUUGAAAUGUUUUGUUACAAAAAUAAAAGAAAAACUGCCAGGGUCCA
rnacentral:lncRNA from 1 species